rnacentral:antisense_RNA from 1 species
GAUGCAUUUCGGAUUUCAAGGGAGUAUACAUUUCUGGAGCGACUUAUGCUGACAUUUGAAGAAAUAGAAAUCUAAGACGAAGGAAAAAGAAAAGAAAUGUUGAAGUUCUUCAGAUGUGGAAGACAUGGUGAGGAUUCCUUCAUCUCUGUGACUGGCUUGCUUGAUAGUUAGGGUCUGAUUGCUGCCUGAGACACCAUAUCGGUACUCCUCAGAGUUGAUGCAUAGUGUUCAUAUGAGGAGAGACUUUCCCUUGUCUCCGUCAUCUGUGAUUUCACUUCCCUGACAGAAGACGAAGCUUCCAUCUCAGAUGUUUUCUUAAAUGAUGAAACAGCAUACGCCUCUGUUCUUGUCAGCUCAGGGAAAACAGAUCUGGGGACCUCUUCAUCUCUGCGUCGGGAAGCAUAGGUGGUAUAAUCCCCUCCUGUUACGUCCAGCGUUGCAUAGUCAGAAGCUUCGCCCUUGU